UGAUUUGCAAAGAAUGUAUGAGAAGAUCCCUGCCCCAAGACGCUUCCAAUCCAGUAGGAGACACACAGGGAGGCAACCAAGGAAGGAGUCUGGAAUGGCACUUGGCAGCGGCUGAAGCCGGGAGGUCCUGGGCACCCAUUCAAGCGGCAAUAAAAAUUGAGAAAUGAGAGGAGCGCUGCCAUUUUCUCAGCACACUUGGAAUUGACCAGAACUGAAGUCAGCAAACAUCCAUGGAAUGCAAGACACACCCCACCCUCCCAACAGAGAACCAGAAAAAAAGUCAAGCCAAGAACUCUCAGGACCCUUAACAAACUCCAGCUGCCAGAAUUCCAUGGGGGAAGCCGUGACUGUUCAAAGUGUUCUCAUGGCUGCAGAUUUGGUGGGCUACGACAGAUCCCAGCAAUGCCAGAGUCGGGGUGAUGGGAGCUGGAGACCAGCCAAGUUUGGGAAAUAUAGCCUUGAUAAAGAAAACGAACCUCAUCCAUAUUCCACACUGAAGCAUGCACAGGUCCCAUUGCUUUCGAAAGAUAAGCAGAUGCAGCCCAGCUGAUGCCAGGCAGAGAGCACUGACACUCGCUGUCAGAAAAGACAAAGCUUCGUGGAAACUUGUGAUGCGCUUUGCCUGGGUCUCCUGCUAGAUCUGCCUGGCAGAAUUUCCUCUAUUGCUGAUGUUUGGGCUCUGAGUCCUGCUGUCUUAUAAACCGCACCAGGGAGGAGGGAGGCAAGAGAACCUGCCGAAAUACAAUAUUGCAGAAACACAAAACAUUUUGGGGGGAAACCUGCCUCUAUGCACAAGCAGCCCAAUGUGGACUAAGUGUGCUCAGUAGCUUCAUAAAGCUGACAGAGGAGAUAUAGAAAACUGGGUGGGAGGAAUGGAGUGAAGAGGCUAGGACCCUGAACUGCAACAUUUAGCGCUGCAACAUCUCGCUGCAGCAUCUCACUUGCCUUCUUCCAGUGGGGCUCGAAUCUCCAUGCUUUCCGGGUUGCUCCGGUCCCUUCACUGGUGUUAGUUUUGCUACCUAACUUUGAAAGCUGCUCUGUCUUCCUAAUACAGCCAUUCUGGAACUCUUGUUAGAAGGAAAUCACCAAUCUUGUUAAUUUAUAAAGGAACUGUUUGGAUAAGCACUGGAAUGAGCUCACUUUGUCACAUUAACUCUCCCACUCGCACUGAUGUUAAUGAAAUAAAGAAAUAUACGGCAGUUCCAGACUUUUAAACUUCUCCCCCCACUGGAUUUGCAUAAUGGGCCCGGCUGCCCAGGAAAAGGAACGGAUCUGUCUGGGGAAAUGGUUUUGCUCCUUGAUCAUCUGGCUUGGGGUG